CCUACGGGUGGCAGCAGUGGGGGAUAUUUCACAAUGGAGGAAACUCUGAUGCAGCGACGCCGCGUGAGGGAUGAAGGUCUUCGGAUUGUAAACCUCUGUCUUUGGGGAAGAAAAUGACGGUACCCAAAGAGUAAGCUCCGGCUAACUACGUGCCAGCAGCCGCGGUCAUACGUAGGGAGCGAGCGUUGUCCGGAAUUACUGGGUGUAAAGGGAGCGUAGGCGGGCAAGAAAAGUGAAUGUUAAAUCGACCUGUUUACAUGCUAGCUGCGUGCAAAACUUUUUAUCUUGAGGGAAGUAGAGGCAAGUGGAAUUUCUAGGGUAGCAGUGAAAUGCGUAGAUAUUAGGAGGAACACCAGUGGCGAAGGCGGCCUGCUGGG
rnacentral:rRNA from 1 species